UACGAAGGGUGCAAGCGUUACUCGGAAUUACUGGGCGUAAAGCGUGCGUAGGCGGUUUGUUAAGUCUGUCGUGAAAGCCCCGGGCUCAACCUGGGAAUGGCGAUGGAUACUGGCGAGCUAGAGUACGGUAGAGGAGAGUGGAAUUCCCGGUGUAGCAGUGAAAUGCGUAGAUAUCAGGAGGAACACCGGUGGCGAAGGCGGCCACCUGGACGACAACUGACGCUGAGACGCGAAAGCGUGGGGAGCAAACAGG
rnacentral:rRNA from 1 species